AACUUUUCAAAACCAAAACAAAACAAACAUUUUGCUCAUAACUGGAUUAUAUUUUUAUUUAUCUAAAUACGAGAUUUCAAAGCUCCAAAUGGCUUUAAGCGGUCAAGUGGACUUUAAAAAAAGUUGUACCCCUAACCAACGGCAUUCUACUUGUCCUGCGUUUUAGUUUGGUUCCAAAACUAUCAAAAUGUCUCGCAACGCACUGCCUUCGUUGAGUCAGCUGGAAGAGCUAGUAAGCUUUUUGGAAAACAAACCAUGUUUGAUUAUGAUGGACCCAUGAUCGUACUGCAAAUGCGAGCAGUCAUCAGGCACGAUCCGAAAACAACAGCCCCAAACAGUGACGUAGUGGGUGUAUGAAGAUAUUGGAGCAGUGGUGUAAGUACUGAAAGGACAAAAAGGAGCAGUUCAGAGGAAGUCCAGUUCAAUUGCAGCUGCGAGGCAACAUGAAGAAUUAGCCAAAACUCUGUGUAAUUGAGUUAAAAAUACAUUCCAUUAUGCGAGGAGACUGUUUUGGAAUCUGAAUUUAGAUAAAUAUCCAU
rnacentral:lncRNA from 1 species